ACUGGCGCUGCGCCCGGCUGCGAUGGGAGAGAAAAAGGAGGGCGGUGGCGGGGGUGAUGCGGCCUGCAUAGAGCGGCGCUGUGCGCGGAGCGAUGGGAGAGAAGAAGUAGGGCAGUGGCGGGGGUGAUACGAAGGCCUCGGAGGGUGGCGCAGGGGCCGCGGCCAGCUGGGCGCUGCAGCAGUGGGGGCAGCUCCAAAAGCUCAUCGGCAUCUCCAUUGGCAGCCUGCACAGGCUGUGCACCAAGUGCACUGUGUCCAACGACCUCACCCAGCAGGAGAUACAGACCCUGG
rnacentral:lncRNA from 1 species